rnacentral:tRNA from 1 species
GGGGUUGAAGCUGAAAGACAAAGCACCCGGCUCUUAACCGGGACGUUGCGGGUUCGACUCCCGCCGACCCCA